rnacentral:misc_RNA from 1 species
AGAAGAUCUGUCGUUAAUGAAGUUCUGUAUUGAGCAGUACAAUGUUCCUCCAGCGCAAAGAUUCGCAUUGCUGACAAGAAUCAGAUAUGCACACGCAUUCCGGUCCCCCAAAGUAUGCAGGCUUUACAGCAAGAUUUGCCUUCUUGCUUUCAUUGUGCUUGUCCAAGCUAGUGAUUCCCAUGAUGAACUUGCGUCCUUUUUUUGCUAAUGAACCUGAAUACACAAAUGAGUUGAUCAGGAUUGUCAGAUCUGAAGAAACCAUCUCUGGAAAUGUUAGGACGCUAGCAAUGAAUGCCUUGGGGGCACAAUUAGCUGCUUAUGCAUCAUCACAUGAGCGGGCAAGGAUUUUGAGUGGAUCAAGCAUCAGUUUUGCUGGUGGUAAUCGCAUGAUCCUCCUGAAUGUUUUACAGAGAGCAAUCUUGUCACUUAGCAGCUCAAAUGACUUGUCAUCAGUAUCCUUUGUUGAAGCUGUUCUGCAGUUUUACCUGCUACAUGUCAUAUCUUCUUCAAGCUCUGGUAGUGUUAUUCGAGGGUCUGGAAUGGUGCCAACUUUUUUGCCGCUAGUAGAGGACGCUGAUCCUGCACAUAUACAUCUUGUUUGCCUGGCUGUGAAAACACUGCAAAAGCUCCUGGAUUAUAGUAAUGCAGCAGUAACCCUUUUCAAAGAUCUAGGUGGAGUUGAGCUUUUGGCUAAUAGGUUACAGAUAGAAGUGCACAGAGUGAUUGACGUGGCUGGAGAUGCUGACAAUUCUAUGGUCAUUGGUGAGCAUUUUAAAUCUAGUGAAGAACAAAUAUAUUCUCAAAAGAGACUUAUUAGGGUCUUAUUGAAGGCACUUGGGUCUGCUACCUAUGCUCCUGCAAAUUCGGCCAGAUCACAGGGUUCUAACGAUGCAUCUUUACCUGCCACUUUGUGUUUGCUAUUUAGUAAUGUGGAAAAAUUUGGAGGUGAUAUUUAUUCCUCGGCUGUGACUGUUAUGAGUGAAAUAAUUCACAAAGACCCGACAUGUUUUCCUGCUCUGCAUGAGUUGGGUCUUCCUAUUGCUUUUUUGUCUUCAGUGGUAUCUGGGAUACUACCGUCUCCAAAAGCUCUUACUUGUGUACCUAAUGGUCUAGGUGCAAUUUGCCUUAAUCCGAA